rnacentral:tRNA from 1 species
UCCCUGGUGGUCCGGUGGCUAAGACUCGGCGCUUGCACUGCUGAGGGCCUGGGUUCGAUCCCUAGCCAGGGAA